UGGGGAAUAUUGGACAAUGGGGGCAACCCUGAUCCAGCAAUGCCGCGUGUGUGAAGAAGGUCUUCGGAUUGUAAAGCACUUUCGACGGGGACGAUGAUGACGGUACCCGUAGAAGAAGCCCCGGCUAACUUCGUGCCAGCAGCCGCGGUAAUACGAAGGGGGCUAGCGUUGCUCGGAAUGACUGGGCGUAAAGGGCGUGUAGGCGGUUUACACAGUUAGAUGUGAAAUCCCCGGGCUUAACCUGGGAGCUGCAUUUGAUACGUGUAGACUAGAGUGUGAGAGAGGGUUGUGGAAUUCCCAGUGUAGAGGUGAAAUUCGUAGAUAUUGGGAAGAACACCGGUGGCGAAGGCGGCAACCUGGCUCAUGACUGACGCUGAGGCGCGAAAGCGUGGGGAGCAAACAGGAUUAGAUACCCUGGUAGUCCACGCUGUAAACGAUGUGUGCUAGAUGUUGGGUAACUUUGUUAUUCAGUGUCGCAGUUAACGCGUUAAGCACACCGCCUGGGGAGUACGGCCGCAAGGUUGAAAC
rnacentral:rRNA from 1 species